rfam:Myotis lucifugus cont2.20131, whole genome shotgun sequence.
GGCAGUUCUUAGGUGACUCAUCCUGGAACCCCAGGGUGCGUCACCUGAGAACUGCC